UACGGAGGGGGCAAUCGUUAUUCGGAAUUAUUGGGCGUAAAGGGCGCGUAGGCGGCUAGAUGUGUCAAAGGUGAAAUCCCUCGGCUCAACUGAGGAACUGCCUUUGAAACUGUCUGGCUUGAGGCCGGGAGAGGGUAGCGGAAUUCCCAGUGUAGCGGUGAAAUGCGUAGAUAUUGGGAGGAACACCAGUGGCGAAGGCGGCUACCUGGACCGGUUCUGACGCUGAGGCGCGAAAGCGUGGGUAGCAAACAGG
rnacentral:rRNA from 1 species